UACAGAGGUGGCAAGCGUUGUUCGGAAUUACUGGGCGUAAAGGGCGCGUAGGCGGCUCGGUAAGUCGGGUGUGAAAACUCGAGGCUCAACCUCGAGACGUCGGCGGAAACCAUCUGGCUAGAGUCCGGAAGAGGAGAGUGGAAUUCCUGGUGUAGCGGUGAAAUGCGCAGAUAUCAGGAAGAAUAUCCGUGGCGAAGGCGGCUCUCUGGGACGGUACUGACGCUGAGACGCGAAAGCGUGGGGAGCGAACAGG
rnacentral:rRNA from 1 species